UACCUGCGGAGGGAUCAUUACACAACAAAAUAUGAAGGUCUGGCUUCGCGGCCGGCUGAAAUAUUUUUUUCACCCAUGUCUUUUGCGCACUUGUUGUUUCCUGGGCGGGUUCGCCCGCCACCAGGACCAAACCAUAAACCUUUUUUUUUAUGCAGUUGCAAUCAGCGUCAGUAAAAACAAUGUAAUUAAUUACAACUUUCAACAACGGAUCUCUUGGUUCUGGCAUCGAUGAAGAACGCAGCGAAAUGCGAUACGUAGUGUGAAUUGCAGAAUUCAGUGAAUCAUCGAAUCUUUGAACGCACAUUGCGCCCUUUGGUAUUCCAAAGGGCAUGCCUGUUCGAGCGUCAUUUGUACCUUCAAGCUUUGCUUGGUGUUGGGCGUUUUUGUCUCCCUCUUUCUGGGAGACUCGCCUUAAAACGAUUGGCAGCCGGCCUACUGGUUUCGGAGCGCAGCACAUAAUUUGCGCUUUGUAUCAGGAGAAAAGGACGGUAAUCCAUCAAGACUCUACAUUUUUAACUUUUGACCUCGGAUCAGGUAGGGAUACCCGCUGAACUUAAGCAUAUCAAAAGCCGGAGGAAA
rnacentral:rRNA from 1 species